GACGAACGCUGGCGGCGUGCCUAAUACAUGCAAGUCGAACGAGAGCAACCGGUGCUUGCACUGGUCAAUCUAGUGGCGAACGGGUGAGUAACACGUGGGUAACCUGCCCAUCAGAGGGGGAUAACAUCCGGAAACGGAUGCUAAAACCGCAUAGGUCUUCGAACCGCAUGGUUUGAAGAGGAAAAGAGGCGCAAGCUUCUGCUGAUGGAUGGACCCGCGGUGCAUUAGCUAGUUGGUGAGGUAACGGCUCACCAAGGCCGUGAUGCAUAGCCGACCUGAGAGGGUGAUCGGCCACAUUGGGACUGAGACACGGCCCAAACUCCUACGGGAGGCAGCAGUAGGGAAUCUUCCGCAAUGGACGCAAGUCUGACGGAGCAACGCCGCGUGAGUGAAGAAGGUUUUCGGAUCGUAAAACUCUGUUGUUAGAGAAGAACAAGUGCUAGAGUAACUGUUAGCGCCUUGACGGUAUCUAACCAGAAAGCCACGGCUAACUACGUA
rnacentral:rRNA from 1 species